GCUGAGCUAGUAUAUGCAGUACGGGUGGAUUACACCCACUUAGAGGCCGUGGUCGGUCGCUCGGUU
rnacentral:tRNA from 1 species